AAACUCUGGCGGAGAUGGCCUAAGUGGGCAACAAGCACGGCUGUCUUUAGAUACAGGGGUGCCCUGGGUCAUGUGCCAACGAGACGAUGCUCCUGCAUCCGUGGUGACUGGUGGAGGCAUCGACUAAUCAGCUGGCUGAUCAGCAGAUGCCAGUGUAUAAUCUUGCAUCGAAGGUUCUUUGUCGGGUUAUCAAUGUAUUAUUGAAGGCUGAACCAGACACUGAUAAAUUAUUUGCACAACUCACCUUACUUCCCAAAUCAAAUGGAGGUCUGAUUAAUAGUGACGCUUGAACCCACAAGGGGAAUGCUAAAUCCACAACGACGUUCAAGACGGACCACUGGUGAAUGCCUUAACUUUUCUGCUUAAAUGGAUUCAUCGACUCAAUUUUGUCAUUAAUUUUUGUGUUCGAGUCCAUUUUCCUUGAUGUUGUUGUAUUAGGAUUUUAAACUUAGUCGUUCGGGCGUGACACAUUUUCAGUGGGAAGUCAUAAGCAUAAUUCAUUUUUCUUAAAUUAGA